rnacentral:rRNA from 1 species
CCUACGGGGGGCAGCAGUCGAGAAUCAUUCACAAUGGGGGAAACCCUGAUGGUGCGACGCCGCGUGGGGGAAUGAAGGUCUUCGGAUUGUAAACCCCUGUCAUGUGGGGGCAAAUUAAAAAGAUAGUACCAAAAGAAGAAGAGACGGCUAACUCGGUGCCAGCAGCCGCGGUAAUACGGAGGUCGCAAGCGUUGUUCGGAAUCACUGGGCGUAAAGCGUGCGUAGGCUGUUUCGUAAGUCGUGUGUGAAAGGCGCGGGCUCAACCCGCGGACGGCACAUGAUACUGCGAGACUAGAGUAAUGGAGGGGGAACCGGAAUGCUCGGUGUAGCAGUGAAAUGCUUAGAUAUCGAGAGGAACACUCGUGGCGAAGGCGGGUUCCUGGACAUUAUCUGACGCUGAGGCACGAAGGCCAGGGGAGCGAAAGGGAUUAGAUACCCGAGUAGUC